rnacentral:rRNA from 1 species
GACGAACGCUGGCGGCGUGCUUAACACAUGCAAGUCGAACGGUGAAGCUCCAGCUUGCUGGAGUGGAUCAGUGGCGAACGGGUGAGUAACACGUGAGCAACCUGCCCCUGACUCUGGAAUAAGCGCUGGAAACGGCGUCUAAUACUGGAUACGAGAAGGGUCCGCAUGGGCACUUUCUGGAAAGUUUGUCGGUUGGGGAUGGGCUCGCGGCCUAUCAGCUUGUUGGUGAGGUAAUGGCUCACCAAGGCGACGACGGGUAGCCGGCCUGAGAGGGCGACCGGCCACACUGGGACUGAGACACGGCCCAGACUCCUACGGGAGGCAGCAGUGGGGAAUAUUGCACAAUGGGCGAAAGCCUGAUGCAGCGACGCCGCGUGAGGGAUGACGGCCUUCGGGGUGUAAACCUCUUUCAGCAGGGAAGAAGCGAAAGUGACGGUACCUGCAGAAGAAGCACCGGCUAACUACGUG